AGCGAACGCUGGCGGCAUGCUUAACACAUGGCAAGUCGCACGGCGGGGGCAACUCCGUCAGUGGCGGACGGGUGAGUAACGCGUAGGAAUCUAUCCUUGGAAAUGGGGGACAACCGUGGGAAACUACGGCUAAUACCGCAUGAUGCCUGAGGGCCAAAGCGAAAGUCGUUUGAGGAGGAGCCUGCGUCUGAUUAGGUAGUUGGUGGGGUAAAGGCCUACCAAGCCUACGAUCAGUAGCUGGUCUGAGAGGAUGAUCAGCCACAUUGGGACUGAGACACGGCCCAAACUCCUACGGGAGGCAGCAGUGGGGAAUAUUGGACAAUGGGCGCAAGCCUGAUCCAGCAAUGCCGCGUGGGUGAAGAAGGUCUUCGGAUUGUAAAGCCCUUUUGGCGGGGACGAUGAUGACGGUACCCGCAGAAUAAGCUCCGGCUAACUUCGUG
rnacentral:rRNA from 1 species